rnacentral:lncRNA from 1 species
UGGUUCUUCUAUAUAUUAAGGCGCUGUUUGGAUACCCUGUAAAACAUAGCAUAAUUAAAACACUAAAUAUUUAUGAAAUUAAAUUAUCUUAUGAAGUAUGUGGGAGCCUAGCAUAAUAGGAAUGUCAAUGGGUAUGAACAACCGAAAUUUUAUCUGAACCCGAACCCGAAUGAAACGAGUAUAUCCGAUGCUAAAUGGAUAUGGAUUCGGAUAUGGAUAUCAAAAAUAAAAACCCGACGGAUAUGGAUUCGGAUAUGGAUUUUGACUAUACCCGACCCGAACUCGAACCCGACCCGAAUUCAAAUUUAUUUUGUAUUAUGUAUAUUAUAAAAUAUAAUAUAUAUAUUCUUUAUAUUAUAUUAUAUAUUUAUUAAGUUGAUGUUUAUCUUAUUUGAUUUGGACAUUUGAUUUAACACAAACCAACACCAAACAUCGGUUUCAUACACGACAAGGCAUAAUAAUAUAUUUUGAAAUAUUGAAAAAAAAAAUAAUUGUUUCGGGUUCAAAUUUUCGGGUUCGGGUUUAGGUUCGGGUUUCGGAUUUUUGGUCGGGUUCGGAUUUGGAUAUGAAUUUUUAAAAUCCGUCGGGUUCGGAUUCGGGUCUUGGGUUUGGAGUUGGGUUCGGGUUCGGGUUCGGGUUUUUGAAAAUCCGUCCUGAAUGUAGUGUCCCUAGAGUUUGGUAUCGGAUUGGCUACAGUAUUAGCAAUUGGUCGACAUAUCUGGAGAGUGUCGGACUGAAUCGGAAUCGUUUUUGCACAAAAUGAAUGCAGAAACGG